rnacentral:rRNA from 1 species
CCUACGGGCGGCAGCAGUGGGGAAUAUUGGACAAUGGGGGCAACCCUGAUCCAGCCAUGCCGCGUGUGUGAAGAAGGCCCUCGGGUUGUAAAGCACUUUCAGUGAGGAAGAACGCCUGGUGGUUAAUACCCAUCAGGAAAGACAUCACUCACAGAAGAAGCACCGGCUAACUCCGUGCCAGCAGCUGCGGUAAUACGGAGGGUGCGAGCGUUAAUCGGAAUUACUGGGCGUAAAGCGCGCGUAGGUGGCUUGAUAAGCCGGUUGUGAAAGCCCCGGGCUCAACCUGGGAACGGCAUCCGGAACUGUCAAGCUAGAGGGCAGGAGAGGAAGGUAGAAUUCCCGGUGUAGCGGUGAAAUGCGUAGAGAUCGGGAGGAAUACCAGUGGCGAAGGCGGCCUUCUGGACUGACACUGACACUGAGGUGCGAAAGCGUGGGUAGCAAACAGGAUUAGAUACCCUAGUAGUC